CAAACAUACUUGAUGUGUUUGUCCCCAGGGUGCAGCAAACAUUUGAUACAAAAGAAGAAGCCUACCUCUUUUACCUUGACUAUGCAAAGUUGGCUGGUUUUAGUGUCAGGACAAAAAGGACUAGUAAAGAAACCACACACUGGGUUUGCAACCGUGAGGGGUUUCUGAAGCCAGGUCAAGAGAAUGAGGAGCCUAUGACAAAUAAGACAUCGAUGAGAAUUGGUUGCCCUGCUUAUGUGAAGGUGAAGGAGGACAAGAAGCGCAAUAUUUGGUAUUUUCAUCAUGUUCAGGAAGCACACAAUCACAAACUUGAACCCUCACCAAGGAUGGUGAGAUAUAUGCAUUCUCAUAAGCAGAGGGAGGCAGCGUUGGAUGACCUGUUUGCAAUCAUGUCAAAGAGUGGUGUGCCAACACAGGCAGCAAUGAAUGUAAUGUCAGAAUUAUUUGGAGGCCGUCAAAACUGGCCGUUCACAGAGAAAGAUGUCCAUAACAAGAAAGCUGAGCAAGCAAGGGAGGAGAGGGAUGGUGACAUGGAUAAACUGUUCCAAUUUUUCAGGGAGUGCAAAGAACACAAUGAAUACUUUUAGUGGGAUGUGGAUUUUGAACCAAAAACAAAUGUGCUUCGGAGCAUUUUUUGGUGUCAUGCAAGUCAGCGUGCAGAAUACAAGGAUUUUGGGGAUGUAGUCACAUUUGACACAACACACAAGACUAACAACACGCAUAUGCCGUUGGCCAUGUUUGUGGGUUGCAGCAAUAAUUUGAAAAAUGUGUCCUUUGGCCAAGCACUUCUUCGGGAUGAAACAAUAGACACAUUCAGAUGGCUUUUUGAGACCUUUAAAAGUUGCAUGGGUGGUCAGCAACCUUUUGUGAUUCUUACAGAUGAAGAUGCAGCGAUGAAGGAAGCAAUAAGGAUUGUGUUUAACAAGACACAACACCGAAAUUG